rnacentral:rRNA from 1 species
UACGGGGGGAGCAAGCGUUGUUCGGAUUUACUGGGCGUAAAGGGCGCGUAGGCGGCGCAACAAGUCACUUGUGAAAUCUCCGGGCUUAACCCGGAGCGGCCAAGUGAUACUGUCGUGCUAGAGUGCGGAAGGGGCUACUGGAAUUCUCGGUGUAGCGGUGAAAUGCGUAGAUAUCGAGAGGAACACCUGCGGCGAAGGCGGUUCUCUGGGACGGUACUGACGCUGAGACGCGAAAGCGUGGGGAGCGAACAGG